UCCUGGGUGGUGAAAUCAGUUAACAUGCUUGGCUGCUAACCGAAAGGUUGGAGGUUCGAGUCCACCUAGGGGAA
rnacentral:tRNA from 1 species